UGUACUAGCUUGCUGAUUCCUCCUUCUUGUAGAACCGUAAUGCCAUUAAUUUGGUGUUGCGGGGAAACAGGACUGUUACUUUGAAAAAAUUAGAGUGUUUAAAGCAGGCUAGCGCCUGAAUACAUUAGCAUGGAAUAAUGAAAUAGGACGUUCGAACCUACUUUGUUGGUUUCUAGGAUUGACGUAAUGAUUAAUAGGGAUAGUUGGGGGCAUUAGUAUUCAAUUGUCAGAGGUGAAAUUCUUGGAUUUAUUGAAGACUGACUACUGCGAAAGCAUUUGCCAAGGAUGUUUUCAUUAAUCAAGAACGAAAGUUAGGGGAUCGAAGACGAUCAGAUACCGUCGUAGUCUUAACCAUAAACUAUGCCGACUAGGGAUCGGAUGAUGUUAAUUUUUUAAUGACUCAUUCGCGCGCCUUACG
rnacentral:rRNA from 1 species